UACGUAGGGUGCAAGCGUUAAUCGGAAUUACUGGGCGUAAAGCGUGCGCAGGCGGUUGUGCAAGACAGAUGUGAAAUCCCCGGGCUCAACCUGGGAAUUGCAUUUGUGACUGCACGGCUAGAGUGUGUCAGAGGGGGUAGAAUUCCACGUGUAGCAGUGAAAUGCGUAGAGAUGUGGAGGAAUACCGAUGGCGAAGGCAGCCCCCUGGGAUAACACUGACGCUCAUGCACGAAAGCGUGGGGAGCAAACAGG
rnacentral:rRNA from 1 species